CCUACGGGAGGCAGCAGUAAGGAAUAUUGGUCAAUGGACGCAAGUCUGAACCAGCCAUGCCGCGUGAAGGAUUAAGGUCCUCUGGAUUGUAAACUUCUUUUAUCUGGACGAAAAAAGGCGAUUGUCGACAUC
rnacentral:rRNA from 1 species